rnacentral:rRNA from 1 species
AUCGAACGCUGGCGGCAGGCCUAACACAUGCAAGUCGAGCGGAUGAAGGGAGCUUGCUUCUGGAUUCAGCGGCGGACGGGUGAGUAAUGCCUAGGAAUCUGCCUGGCAGUGGGGGAUAACGUCCGGAAACGGGCGCUAAUACCGCAUACGUCCUGAGGGAGAAAGUGGGGGAUCUUCGGACCUCACGCUAUCAGAUGAGCCUAGGUCGGAUUAGCUAGUUGGUUGGGUAAAGGCCUACCAAGGCGACGAUCCGUAACUGGUCUGAGAGGAUGAUCAGUCACACUGGAACUGGAACACGGUCCAGACUCCUACGGGAGGCAGCAGUGGGGAAUAUUGGACAAUGGGCGAAAGCCUGAUCCAGCCAUGCCGCGUGUGUGAAGAAGGUCUUCGGAUUGUAAAGCACGUUAAGUUGGGAGGAAGGGCAGUAAGUUAAUACCUUGCUGUAUUGACGUUACCAACAGAAUAAGCACCGGCUAACUACGUG